GAGCAUCGAGCAAGGUGGCCUGCUAAGACCAGAGCGUGACCACGUUGAGUUUCAGCAUCCGAGCUUCGUGCGAGGCUGUACCUGCGCUGCGAGGUGAUGACACUCGAUGGCGUCCUGAAGACCUGGGCCGACUGCUGGGAGAGGUGCAAGCUUUGAGGGGAGUGCAGGAGAGCACGGAGGCACGGCUGCAGGAACUCAGGCAGCAGAACGAGAUCUUGUGGCGAGAGGUGGUGACGCUGCGGCAGAGCCACAGUCAGCAGCACCGGGUCAUCGGCAAGCUAAUCCAGUGCCUGUUUGGGCCACUUCAGACAGGGCCCAGCAGUACAGGAGCCAAGAGAAAGCUGUCCCUAAUGCUAGAUGAGGGGAGUGC
rnacentral:lncRNA from 1 species